rnacentral:rRNA from 1 species
CACCUCUAGCAUAACUAGUAUUAGAGGCACNGCCUGCCCAGUGACAAUCGUUAAACGGCCGCGGUAUCUUGACCGUGCAAAGGUAGCAUAAUCACUUGUUCUCUAAAUAAGGACUUGUAUGAAUGGCCACACGAGGGUUUUACUGUCUCUUACUCUUAAUCAGUGAAAUUGACCUCCCCGUGAAGAGGCGGGGAUAACACAAUAAGACGAGAAGACCCUAUGGAGCUUUAAUUAAUCAACUCAAAAAGCGUAAAAUAAUACCACCAAGGGAUAACAAAGCUUUACAUGAGUUGACAAUUUCGGUUGGGGUGACCUCGGAGUAUAAAAAACCCUCCGAGUGAUUAAAACUUAGGCCUACCAGCCAAAGUAUAGUAUCACUUAUUGAUCCAAAAUUUUGAUCAACGGAACAAGUUACCCUAGGGAUAACAGCGCAAUCCUAUUCUAGAGUCCAUAUCGACAAUAGGGUUUACGACCUCGAUGUUGGAUCAGGACAUCCUAAUGGUGCAGCAGCUAUUAAGGGUUCGUUUGUUCAACGAUUAAAGUCCU